CGGCGUGCCUAACACAUGCAAGUCGAACGGAGUUAAGUCUUCGGAUUUAACUUAGUGGCGAACGGGUGAGUAACGCGUGAGAAACCUGCCUUUCAGUGGGGGACAACAGUUGGAAACGACUGCUAAUACCGCAUAAUGUUAUUUGGGGGCAUCCCUGGAUAACCAAAGAUUUAUUGCUGAAAGAUGGUCUCGCGUCUGAUUAGCUAGAUGGCGGGGUAACGGCCCACCAUGGCGACGAUCAGUAGCCGGUCUGAGAGGAUGAACGGCCACAUUGGGACUGAGAUACGGCCCAGACUCCUACGGGAGGCAGCAGUGGGGAAUAUUGGGCAAUGGGGGAAACCCUGACCCAGCAACGCCGCGUGAAGGAAGAAGGCCUUCGGGUUGUAAACUUCUUUUAGCAGGGACGAAUUUUGACGGUACCUGCAGAAAAAGCAACGGCUAACUACGUGCCAGCAGCCGCGGUAAUACGUAGGUUGCAAGCGUUGUCCGGAUUUACUGGGUGUAAAGGGCGUGUAGGCGGAGAUGCAAGUUGGGAGUGAAAUCCCGGGGCUCAACCCCGGAACUGCUUUCAAAACUGUAUCCCUUGAGUGUCGGAGAGGCAAGCGGAAUUCCUAGUGUAGCGGUGAAAUGCGUAGAUAUUAGGAGGAACACCAGUGGCGAAGGCGGCUUGCUGGACGAUAACUGACGCUGAGGCGCGAAAGCGUGGGGAGCAAACAGGAUUAGAUACCCUGGUAGUCCACGCUGUAAACGAUGAAUACUAGGUGUGGGGAGGACUGACCCCUUCCGUGCCGCAGUUAACACAAUAAGUAUUCCACCUGGGGAGUACGACCGCAAGGUUGAAACUCAAAUGAAUUGACGG
rnacentral:rRNA from 1 species